UUUGAAUUAUUUGUUAAUUACUGAUGAAAAAUCUUUUUUUAUUUAGGAUAUAUUACUUAAUAAUAUAAACUACACAACCUGCUUAUAACCAUUUUUUUAUGCAACCACUGAUACAAGAGGAUUCUUUCCAUUUACUCCAACCUUCAUUGCCUUUAACUCCAGAAGAUUGUGGUUUUAAAAAGUGCAAGGCUGGUAAGCAUUCACCGCCACGACAUUCUUUACCCUCUUCACAAAUGGUUCCUUCCAAAGCUGGACCAGCAUAAUAAUAACCACUACGAUGUGGACUACGACAUGAUAAUGUAUGACAAGCGUUAUCCAUGUACGUCCGGGUAAUGUCAGAUAUCUUGAAUGGUCCAAAGUCUUGUCAAAAUUUUCUAAAUUUUUAUCAAGUAGACAUGGUUUUGUUCGUGGUAAAUCAAUAGCUACUUCUC
rnacentral:lncRNA from 1 species